UGCCACAAGAGCUUGGUCCUUAUGUGUGGCAGUUCACCAUUUCAGCAGGAUGUAUAUACGGAAACUAAAGAGAAAGAAUGUUCAGAUAAAACAGUAAUUCAAAUAAUCCAUAGAAUCAAGAAUUUAUGUUGCCACCCCUGUAACAUGGGAAGAUCAUGGCAGUUUUCAAUUGUGGAUUUAUAAUAACAAUCUAGCAUCUAAUAUUCAGGAUGCUACAACAAACAAACUUAACAACUCAAUUUCAGAACAUUACUUGAUCUCAAAAACCAAACCACGCACAUCAACAAAGCUACCUGACGGUGAGAUAGCAUAGCCCAUAGCAAAGAUCAGGUAAAAACAGUAAUUCAGAUAGCUCAUAGCAAAGAUGCUACGGUUACCAGUCAAAAUGCCCAGUUAAACGGAACCUGUUAGAUAGCAUAGCAUAAGUACUGCAAGGGCACAGUAAACCUGGAUCAGGAUUUGAGGAUAUUAUAUAAAUGCGGUCUAUGGAUAUGGCCAGAUGAAAUAGUGGGUCUCAUCAUCAUCUUCUGCUUCUGGCAUCCCAUAAUCUUCUUGCAUCUCCAAGAACGGAAGUGGAAUGAUAUUCUCCUGGAAGCUAUAUGGUGUAAUGUGCACACGGCUUUCCUCACACUCACUGCAUUUCACGUGUCCCAGAAACUUACCAUCAAUGUCACAGCGCACAAUAUGCCCAGCAUCAAGCUCGAUGAGCAACUCGUGCUUGCCGAGCACAGCAAUCUUGCGUAAACAUCUCACCCUUAGAUCAGGUGGUAGGGACGCCUUCAGCCCAGAUAGGUCAAUCCGAUACUUGAAGGCCCAGACCUCAGCCUCAUAGUCCUGCAUCAUGUGGAUAUCUACAACAAUGCCAUCGGAACUGGUGCACAUAGCAACCACACUGUCAAUCUCCAACAACAAUGUCCAAAAGCUCAUUCCGGUGGGACGGCUCAUCCACCUAAACGUCUCAUCAGCAGUGUUGAACAGUAGAAUUUUGCUGGUGUCAGAGUGGUACCGUUCUUUUAGAUCCCAAUGCAGGCUGCCACGGUGGAGAAUAGAUACAUUAGACGAACAGGUCAGUCCAUCUAGUAGGUCUUGUUCCAUAGGUGGGUGUCCAUCCAGUAGGUCUUGUUCCAUAGGUGGUUGUCCUAUGGAACUAGGCUCAUCAGAUCCCACCGAGAGGACGUAGAAAUAAGUCGUGAAAGCGAAACCGUUCUCAUUCCUUGUGCAAAUUGAGUAGAGCACACGGUAUUCUCUGCAGAGGCAAUGCUGGUAGAAUCCUGCUAUGCGAAUGCUUGUAACUGAAGCACGACAUUUUGUGUUGGAAUUAACCACGAGUCCUAGUCCGGCUUGGACUUGGAACCAUCACCAUGUAGGUAUAGGAUUAGUAGUUGUCUUGGUUAGCUACUAUAUAUACGUACAAGUACCCCUGUAAUAUUGGAUCAGAUCAAAG
rnacentral:lncRNA from 1 species